rnacentral:rRNA from 1 species
AUUGAACGCUGGCGGCAGGCCUAACACAUGCAAGUCGAGCGAGCGGCGGACGGGUGAGUAAUAUAUGGGGAUCUGCCCGAUAGAGGGGGAUAACUACUGGAAACGGUGGCUAAUACCGCAUACUAUUGGAUGAACCCAUAUUGGAUUAGCUAGUUGGUGGGGUAAAGGCUCACCAAGGCGACGAUCUCUAGCUGGUCUGAGAGGAUGAACAGCCACACUGGGACUGAGACACGGCCCAGACUCCUACGGGAGGCAGCAGUGGGGAAUAUUGGAAAAUGGGCGCAAGCCUGAUCCAGCCAUGCCGCGUGUAUGAAGAAGGCCUUAGGGUUGUAAAGUACUUUCAGCGGGGAGGCGUUACCCGCAGAAUAAGCACCGGCUAACUCCGUGCCAGCAGCCGCGGUAAUUC